UACGAAGGGGGCUAGCGUUGCUCGGAAUCACUGGGCGUAAAGGGUGCGUAGGCGGGUCUUUAAGUCCGGGGUGAAAUCCUGGAGCUCAACUCCAGAACUGCCUUUGAUACUGAGGAUCUUGAGUCCGGGAGAGGUGAGUGGAACUGCGAGUGUAGAGGUGAAAUUCGUAGAUAUUCGCAAGAACACCAGUGGCGAAGGCGGCUUACUGGUCCGGUUCUGACGCUGAGGCGCGAAAGCGUGGGGAGCAAACAGG
rnacentral:rRNA from 1 species